rnacentral:rRNA from 1 species
GUGGGGAAUUUUGGACAAUGGGCGCAAGCCUGAUCCAGCAAUGCCGCGUGCAGGAAGAAGGCCUUCGGGUUGUAAACUGCUUUUGUACGGAACGAAACGGUCCUGGUUAAUACCUGGGGCUAAUGACGGUACCGUAAGAAUAAGCACCGGCUAACUACGUGCCAGCAGCCGCGGUGAUACGUAGGGUGCGAGCGUUAAUCGGAAUUACUGGGCGUAAAGCGUGCGCAGGCGGGGCUGUAAGACAGGCGCGAAAUCCCCGGGCUCAACCUGGGAACUGCCAUUGUGACUGCACAGCUAGAGUGCGGCAGAGGGGGAUGGAAUUCCGCGUGUAGCAGUGAAAUGCGUAGAUAUGCGGAGGAACACCGAUGGCGAAGGCAAUCCCCUGGGCCUGCACUGACGCUCAUGCACGAAAGCGUGGGGAGCAAACAGGAUUAGAAACCCUUGUAGUCC